GUCGAACGGAUUAUUCUUUAUUUCUUGCUAUGAUGAAAAUUAGUGGCAGACGGGUGAGUAAUGCAUAGGAAUCUACCUAGUAGUAUGGGAUAGCCACUAGAAAUGGUGGGUAAUACUGUAUAAUCCCUGCGGGGGAAAGAUUUAUCGCUAUUAGAUGAGCCUAUGUUAGAUUAGCUAGUUGGUAGGGUAAAGGCCUACCAAGGCAGUGAUCUAUAGCUGGUCUGAGAGGAUGAUCAGCCACACUGGAACUGAGAUACGGUCCAGACUCCUACGGGAGGCAGCAGCGGGGAAUAUUGGACAAUGGGCGCAAGCCUGAUCCAGCUAUGCCGCGUGAGUGAGGAAGGCCUUAGGGUUGUAAAACUCUUUCAGUGGGGAAGAUAAUGACGGUACCCACAGAAGAAGUCCCGGCAAACUCCGUGCCAGCAGCCGCGGUAAUACGGAGGGGGCAAGCGUUGUUCGGAAUUAUUGGGCGUAAAGGGCAUGUAGGCGGUUCGGUAAGUUAAAGGUGAAAUGCCAGGGCUUAACCCUGGAGCUGCUUUUAAUACUGCCAGACUAGAGACCGGGAGAGGAUAGCGGAAUUCCUAGUGUAGAGGUGAAAUUCGUAGAUAUUAGGAGGAACACCAGUGGCGAAGGCGGCUAUCUGGUCCGGUACUGACGCUGAGGUGCGAAAGCGUGGGGAGCAAACAGGAUUAGAUACCCUGGUAGUCCACGCUGUAAACGAUGAGUGCUGAAUGUGGGGGUGUUUGCCUCUGUGUUGUAGCUAACGCGUUAAGCACUCCGCCUGGGGACUACGGUCGCAAGACUAAAACUCAAAGGAAUUGACGGGGACCCGCACAAGCGGUGGAGCAUGUGGUUUAAUUCGAUGCAACGCGAAGAACCUUACCACUUCUUGACAUGGAGAUUAGAUCCUUCUUAACGGAAGGG
rnacentral:rRNA from 1 species